rnacentral:rRNA from 1 species
UACAGAGGGUGCGAGCGUUGUCCGGAAUCACUGGGCGUAAAGGGCGCGUAGGUGGUGGUUUAAGCGUGCGGUGAAAGCUCGGAGCUCAACUCCGAGUCGGCCGUGCGAACUGGGCUCACUGGAGCAUAGUAGAGGCAGGUGGAAUUCCGGGUGUAGCGGUGGAAUGCGUAGAGAUCCGGAAGAACACCGGUGGCGAAGGCGAGUCCCUGGACAACUUCUGACGCUGAGGCACGAAAGCUAGGGGGAGCAAACAGG